rnacentral:rRNA from 1 species
UAGGGAAUCUUCNGGCAAUGGACGGAAGUCUGACCGAGCAACGCCGCGUGAGUGAAGAAGGUUUUCGGAUCGUAAAGCUCUGUUGUAAGAGAAGAACGAGUGUGAGAGUGGAAAGUUCACACUGUGACGGUAUCUUACCAGAAAGGGACGGCUAACUACGUGCCAGCAGCCGCGGUAAUACGUAGGUCCCGAGCGUUGUCCGGAUUUAUUGGGCGUAAAGCGAGCGCAGGCGGUUAGAUAAGUCUGAAGUUAAAGGCUGUGGCUUAACCAUAGUACGCUUUGGAAACUGUUUAACUUGAGUGCAAGAGGGGAGAGUGGAAUUCCAUGUGUAGCGGUGAAAUGCGUAGAUAUAUGGAGGAACACCGGUGGCGAAAGCGGCUCUCUGGCUUGUAACUGACGCUGAGGCUCGAAAGCGUGGGGAGCAAACAGGAUUAGAUACCCUGGUAGUCCACGCCGUAAACGAUGAGUGCUAGGUGUUAGACCCUUUCCGGGGUUUAGUGCCGCAGCUAACGCAUUAAGCACUCCGCCUGGGGAGUACGACCGCAAGGUUG